ACUGCUUUUGAAACAACUCUUAUGAGUGAAAAUACCAGGUUUCCCUGACACAUGAAGUGCCCUCUGUGAACCGGUUUGUAAAACCACUACUCUCUCCUCUCCUUUGAAUCCCUCCUCAAGACCUACUGCAAAACGGAAUCCCUGCCCCUCUCCCAGGGUGCACUCUGACAUCAUCAUCAGGGGGCUGAGGUAGCAGAAGCUGCAUGAAGAGGCUACAGCAGCCUUGAGAUCACCAGACAGAGGAGGAGAAGAAUAAAGGAGGCUUUGUGCCAUCCCAUCCCCAGAGAAACUGCAGCAGUAUUGAGGAAGGUUGAGGAGAAAUACAGCCCUCCAAACACAAACACACACACACAC